rnacentral:lncRNA from 1 species
CAUUAUUGUAAGUUUAUACAUUUAUGCAGAUAUGUGUAAUUGUUCUUCAAACUUAAAGUCAAUUUUUUGAAAAACCAAAAUACUCUGGCAUCAUAAACCUUUAUUUCACUUCUGUAUGUCUUUUCUGUGUUGAUGAUUCUUAAGAAAGUCAUGGAAAAUUUCUGAAGUAGAGGUUUUGAAGAGAUGGACAUAAAAAAGGAAGCAAUCAAUUUCAUUAGAACCUGUACUUCUGUUUAUCAUUCAACAGUUGCAUAAGUGGAAAAAUGCAGUGAAUGAGUUAUCUCGUGCUAUCCAUCUUCAGCCAGAUGGAAUUCAACUAUAUAUAAUAAGGUCUCAUUGGGUUGAGUCCCAUUCAACAAGCACACAUUUAUUCAUUUUGUGAAAACCAUGACAAGGCCAUUCAGGUCUUGGAUGGGAUAUCGUGGCAUAGGUCGGAGAUGACCAUGUUUACAUUAUUAGCAAAAGCCCAAAUGAAGGCCAAGAAAAUCAAGGUGAAUACAAUUUCUGAAUAACCUUUGUUAAACCUACUAAUGAAAUUCCUAUAUCGUACUUAG